rnacentral:rRNA from 1 species
GACGAACGCUGGCUGCGUGCUUAACACAUGCAAGUCGAACGCUGAAGCCCGAAGCUUGCUUCGGGUGGAUGAGUGGCGAACGGGUGAGUAACACGUGAGUAACCUGCCCCUGAUUUCGGGAUAAGCCUGGGAAACUGGGUCUAAUACCGGAUACGACCACCUGACGCAUGUCGGGUGGUGGAAAGUUUUUCGAUCGGGGAUGGGCUCGCGGCCUAUCAGCUUGUUGGUGGGGUAAUGGCCUACCAAGGCGACGACGGGUAGCCGGCCUGAGAGGGCGACCGGCCACACUGGGACUGAGACACGGCCCAGACUCCUACGGGAGGCAGCAGUGGGGAAUAUUGCACAAUGGGGGAAACCCUGAUGCAGCGACGCAGCGUGCGGGAUGACGGCCUUCGGGUUGUAAACCGCUUUCAGCAGGGAAGAAGCGAAAGUGACGGUACCUGCAGAAGAAGUACCGGCUAACUACGUGCCAGCAGCCGCCGUAA